rnacentral:lncRNA from 1 species
GCAGCUGGCACAUCCUGUGUCCUCCAACCUUGACCCAAGCAUGCAAGGCCUCCCUGCUGGGCUCAGCCUGGAUGAUUUCAUCCCUGGCCACCUCCGGGCCCAUAUAGGUGCAUCUUCCCGGGGGACAAGGUUUCAUGACCCUGCACCCAGGACUGUGUGCAACGGCUGUCCCCCGCCCAGGAGAGAUGGUUCCCAGCAUCCAGACCCAGCAUGGUAUCAGACCUGGCCAGGCCCUGGGAGUCAGCCCUCUGUGAGCCCUAAGCAGCCUGCCCCCCAGAAUGCCCAGAACUGGUCAGCCACAUGGACCAAGGACAGCAAGCGGCGG